GACGAACGCUGGCGGCGUGCUUAACACAUGCAAGUCGAACGGAAAGGCCCCUUUGGUGGUACUCGAGUGGUGAACGGGUGAGUAACACGUGAGUAACCUGCCCUUGACUUCGGGAUAACUUCAGGUAACUGGGGCUAAUACCGGAUAGGAAUCCUUGCUGCAUGGUGGGGGUUGGAAAGCUUCGGCGGUUUUGGAUGGACUCGCGGCUUAUCAGCUUGUUGGUGGGGUAGUGGCUUACCAAGGCUUUGACGGGUAGCCGGCCUGAGAGGGCGACCGGCCACCUGGGACCUAGGGUAGGCCCCAGUCGCCAACGGGGGGAACCGGGGGGAAGAAUGCAGAAGCGGCGGGAGGCGGGUGCCGCAACGCCUCGGGCCGGAAGACUGUCUUCGGGGUGGAAAACGAAUGUAGCAGGGGCGAAGCUUGUGGUGACGGUACCUACAGAAAAAGCCACGGCUAACUACGUG
rnacentral:rRNA from 1 species